UGAGUACGAGCUGCUACGGCAGCGAAGUGGGUGACGUCAAGCUUCCAAGAAAAGCCCUAUACCCGUUAAGGCAUGAUGGCCUGUACCCGAAACCGACACAGGUAGGAUGGUAGAGAAUACCGAGGGGCGCGAGGUAACUCUCUCUAAGGAACUCGGCAAAAUGGCCCCGUAACUUCGGGAGAAGGGGUGCCACCGCAAGGUGGUCGCAGUGAAGAGGCCCAGGCGACUGUUUACCAAAAACACAGGUCUCCGCUAAGUCGCAAGACGAUGUAUGGGGGCUGACGCCUGCCCAGUGCCGGAAGGUUAAGGAAGCUGGUCAGCGUAAGCGAAGCUAGCGACUGAAGCCCCGGUGAACGGCGGCCGUAACAAUAACGGUCCUAAGGUAGCGAAAUUCCUUGUCGGGUAAGUUCCGACCCGCACGAAAGGCGUAACGAUCUGGGCGCUGUCUCGGAGAGAGGCUCGGCGAAAUAGAAUUGUCUGUGAAGAUGCGGACUACGUGCACCCGGACAGAAAGACCCUAUGAAGCUUUACUGUAGCUUGGUAUUGUGCCCGGGCUCUGAAUGCGCAGGAUAGGUGGGAGGCUUUGAUCAACAGCUUGCGGGUUGUUGUGAGCCAACGGUGAGAUACCACUCUUUCAGAGCUAGGGUUCUAACGGUCACCCGUUAUCCGGGGACCGGACAGUAUCAGGUGGGCAGUUUGACUGGGGCGGUCGCCUCCUAAAAGGUAACGGAGGCGCGCAAAGGUUUGCUCAGGCUGGUUGGAAAUCAGCCGACGAGUGUAAAAGCAGAAGCAAGCUUGACUGUGAGACCUACAAGUCGAACAGGGACGAAAGUCGGCUUUAGUGAUCCGACGGUUCUGAGUGGAAGGGCCGUCGCUCAACGGAUAAAAGUUACUCUAGGAUAACAGGCUGAUCUCCCCCAAGAGUUCACAUCGACGGGGAGGUUUGGCACCUCGAUGUCGGCUCAUCGCAACCUGGGGCUGAAGUCGGUCCCAAGGGUUGGGCUGUUCGCCCAUUAAAGCGGUACGCGAGCUGGGUUCAGAACGUCGUGAGACAGUUCGGUCCAUAUCCGGUGCAUGCGCAGGAAUAUUGAGAGGAGUUCUCCCUAGUACGAGAGGACCGGGAGGAACGCACCUCUGGUGUACCAGUUAUCGUGCCAACGGUAAACGCUGGGUAGCCAUGUGCGGAGAGGAUAACCGCUGAAAGCAUCUAAGUGGGAAGCCCACCUCAAGAUGAGUAUUCCCAUGGCAUAAGCCAGUAAGGUCACGGGAAGAACACCCGUUGAUAGGCUCUACGUGGAAGCGCAGUAAUGCGUGAAGCGGAGGAGUACUAAUAGACCGAGGGCUUGACC
rnacentral:rRNA from 1 species